GGGGCCGGACUCCGUCCAGUUUUCUUCCUACAAAAACCUCUAGAGUUGACAGAAGAUCGUCUCGACCGGGACAGAAGAAAGUAGGUUUCAGAGAAUCAAAUGCAAAAUAAAAGCUAUGAAAACUUCCCAUUUCCUGAACUUUAGAAAGUGUUUUACAUCAUCAAGUUCAUCCCUGCCCCGGCGGAGUCGCUGAGGACCAGUGACAGGCAUCGACAGAAGACUGCAUUUAUUUUCAGACCCACACCCGCCCUCUUAACAUUUAUCUCAGUGUUUGUCAAGGUCUGCAAGGAAUGGUCGCUGCUAUUAGACUGGUCCUGAAACACAGACAGCAGCAGAGCUCGUCCGCUGCCUUCAACUGCUGUCCGCAGGGAAGUGUUCAUGUGACAUAAAGCGACAUCAACACUGUUAAAUGUGACUGGCGGCCUGUGUACAUAAAGAGUUAUUGGCGUCUAAACGAAAGGAUUUGAGCAAUUCCUCCGACAUCCUCGGUUGGAUUGCUGGGGAAUGCUUGCCAUUCGGGACAGGAAACAGGGAGCGGCACAUCUCUGAUUGGCUGGAUUCCCUGACCCAGCGACCUCGGUCAUGGCUGUCCCACUGGGGGUGGGACACACACACACACACACACACACAAUUUAGAGUAUGUGACAGAGAAAGCAGAAGGAAAGAAGGAAAUGGGAUAAAAAUGAUGGAAAAUUAACUCAUCAUAUCUAACAUAACAGUAUAGCAGUAAUAGUCAUUUGAGUGACUGCUCAGUGUUUUAGUUUUAGUGUGAGACCUUUUGAGACUUUGGAAACAUGUGUUCAGACCUGUCCAUGUGUGUAACCUUUUUCCGUAUGCAUAGGGAAUAAAUGGAAACUGACAUGAAAGUGCACAGACGUGUUUUAUUCAGAAAGCUGAAAAUGAAUAAUAAAGUGAAAACAUUAAUA